rnacentral:rRNA from 1 species
CCCUGAUGCACAAGGUACCAAAAAAUGAACUUUUAUUUUUUUAGAAACCUAUAAAUAUACUUUAUCUUCCUCUUCAGUUCAAAUUUCAUAAAACCUCUUGAAAAAAUACAAAAAUAAUAUAAUUUUUUAUAUUAAUCACUUUAAAAAUUAUAUAAUUUUUAAAAAA